UUUUGUGUUUUACAGAAGGAAAAAGUAAUACAGGUUUGCACUGACAUGAAGAUGAGGUGUGUUCCUUUAAAUUAAUAAGUAUGAAUCUGUUUGGCUGCUGGUUUGAUCGUCAUCCGAAGCGAGUCCUGAGCUCAUCAGUGUCAUGGCCUUGAGCGAGAUACUUAACCUCCAGUUCCUCCAGAGGGACUGAACCUGUAAUAACUUCAUGGCUCUUCUGUGAGUUCUCCUCCUCUCACAGAAUGAUACCACCGUGGUUUCACUCUGGUCCAGCUGAGUGAAUUAACAUGGUCCCAGGCUGCAGAUUAUAUAGCACGUUAACCACUGAAAGAGAUGUGCACCGUUCAGGAAAAAAUCAAUCAAGAUUAGCUUCUCCACCUCUCAAUGGAGCACUGUGAACCUCCUCAGGGGGUAAAGCU